rnacentral:rRNA from 1 species
UACGUAGGGGGCGAGCGUUGUCCGGAAUCAUUGGGCGUAAAGCGCGUGUAGGCGGCUCGAUAAGUCUGCUGUGAAAGUCCAGGGCUCAACCCUGGAAUGCCGGUGGAAACUGUUGAGCUUGAGUCCGGAAGAGGCGAGUGGAAUUCCUGGUGUAGCGGUGAAAUGCGCAGAUAUCAGGAGGAACACCAAUGGCGAAGGCAGCUCGCUGGGACGGUACUGACGCUGAGGCACGAAAGCGUGGGGAGCAAACAGG